AAAAACCCCAAACUGACAUUGACAUUAAUUGACAUUAAUUGACAUUAAUUGACAUUAAUUGACAUUAAUUGACAUUAAUUUGUCUUGAAAUUUGAGAUUAUCAUUAUUCGAUAAAUAUUCAAGAUAUUCACGUCUAUGUAAGUUAGACCGGUUCAAAAAAACAAAAUGUCCUUGAAUAAUUAUGAGUAUGUUCUUAUCUGUUGAUUCUUAGGUUCAAAGACCACCAAAAAAAAUUUCAGCUCCCAACUCUUCCAUCUUCGGUCCCCACCGGCCACGCCCAUAUUUUAUUGGUUUCUUAUACAGGUAAAAUAUCUAGAAUCGGCUUUUUUAGUAUGAAGGAGUAAUGUUAGCUGUUUAAGAUUCGUUAUUCAAAUAUAAAUGUCAUGAAGGCAUUUCGUUUAAUGUGGGUUUUAAGUUCUGAUGAUGUUGAGAACCACGCCCUUGGAUGGCCACGUCCAUUUAAGAAAAUUUAAUUUCGGAAAACCGUAUUAUUUUAGUUUUAUUAUUUAAUGAUCUGAAUUUUUUCACAUUUCACAUUUCCAUAUGUGAUAGUAGUGAAUAAAUUGAUGAUAUAAACGUUCUAAAGUGCUAAAAAUAUGGUAGAACUACAUAAUCUCUGGUCGAAAAAUAUCGUGUCAAUUAAUGUCAGUAUUCCAAAAUUUUGCAAAACUGACAUUGACAUUAAUUGACAUUAAUUGACAUUAAUUGACAUUAAUUGACAUUAAUUGACGUUGCAUCACCCCCUGUGUGUGUCUGUGUUUAUGCUGUGUCUGUGUGUCUAUGUCUGUAUGUGUUUGUGGGUGUGUGUAUCUGUCUGUCUGUCUGUCUGUCUGUGUGUGUGUCUGUCUGUGUGUGUGUGUGUGUGUGUGUGUGUGUGUGUGUGUGUGUGUGUGUGUGUGUGUGUGUGUGUGUGUGUGUGUGUGUGUGUGUGUGUGUGUGUGUUUGUGUGUGUUUGUGUGUGUGUUCUUUCAUAGAAGUUGUUAUUUCCAAGAUAUGAAGUUCGAAAAGCUAGCAUUUAGUAAUAGACGAAUUUUGCAGCUGAUAUCAGAAUCGAAAUGAUGAUGGUACUACACGAGAUGCUCAUGGAAAAGGUAUCAGUUUGCUUUCCUCCUCCCACGAGCAGUACAAAGUGUGGGUUCAACUUUAAUCUGAUAGAAGAUAUCGUAUGCGGAACCCAAGCCCGGCUAUGUCUGUACAUAAUAACGAAAGAAACCGGUUAUGCUGCGAGGGCGUUUAGCUCGAUAGAUGUUGAAAAUGCCCACAGCAUUAUAAAUCAUUUGGACCGCCGCGGGGUCCAAAACUCCUCAAUUGAAGAGCUUAGUAGACAUGUCAGCAACCUACAGAGACUUCAAAUUCUCAGGAAAACCUCUCUAGGACGGAAGCUUUAUACUCCGACAUCCACAAUUUACCACGCCCCUGAGAUCGACAAAGGUCUUUCUGAUAGAUUGACUUCCAGCCAAUUCGAUCUAUCGAAGCCGAGUGGGAAGAACAAAGAACUGAAACCCAUGGUCGCAACGAUGCUCCUCGCGGACAAGGGAGGGUUAGGGCCAUCGGUGGUCACAAGACUGCAGAAUAUUUAUUUUUUAAGCGUUGAGGUUGUCACGAAAGCGUACUGUAACGGGACUGUAUCAGAUUUGAGUGAUUUGAUUUUGUGAUUCGCAGUUCACGUGAUUUUAUUGUGAUCUUAGACUGUAAAAACUAUAAAGGUUCAAGUUGAACUAUCGUCGCCAUGAUUAUGUAUUUUGGAACUGUUCACGUUGAAAUUGCUUCGUUAAUCAGCAGUCUUCCUUGGUUACCUUCUACUGUGUAAUGCAGCUACGAUCAACGAUACUUAGCUAGUACAUUCAUAGUAACUGCACUGAGAAGAGUAAAAAAUUUGAGCUUUGACGGAAUAACAUCUCCUUGUUUUUAGAUACGGUUACUAUUCUAGUGAGGGGUUCAUAGCUGACCAUUAAGGUCUUACUCGCAAUAAUUUGUGCUCUGAUAUUGGCCGUACUGACUGCUGUUGAAAAAGCCACGCCAUCAGAUGCGCGUCGCAAUAGUCCACCCCAGUAGACCCCACUACG